GCGACGAUCCGUAGCUGGUCUGAGAGGACGACCAGCCACACUGGGACUGAGACACGGCCCAGACUCCUACGGGAGGCAGCAGUAGGGAAUAUUGGACAAUGGGCGAAAGCCUGAUCCAGCAAUGCCGCGUGUGUGAAGAAGGCCUAUGGGUUGUAAAGCACUUUCAGUUGGGAAGAAAAGCUUUAGGUUAAUACCUUAGAGUCUUGACGUUACCAAUAGAAGAAGCACCGGCUAACUCUGUGCCAGCAGCCGCGGUAAGACAGAGGGUGCGAGCGUUAAUCGGAAUUACUGGGCGUAAAGCGUACGUAGGUGGUUGAGUCAGUCGGAUGUGAAAGCCCAAGGCUUAACCUUGGAACUGCAUUCGAUACUGCUCAACUAGAGUAUAGUAGAGGGAAGCGGAAUUUCUAGUGUAGCGGUGAAAUGCGUAGAUAUUAGAAAGAACACCAGUGGCGAAGGCGGCUUCCUGGACUAAUACUGACACUGAGGUACGAAAGCGUGGGGAGCAAACAGGAUUAGAUACCCUGGUAGUCCACGCCCUAAACGAUGAGAACUAGAUGUUGGGGGAAAUUGAUCCCUUAGUAUCGCAGCUAACGCGAUAAGUUCUCCGCCUGGGGAGUACGGCCGCAAGGUUAAAACUCAAAUGAAUUGACGGGGGCCCGCACAAGCGGUGGAGCAUGUGGUUCAAUUCGAUGCAACGCGAAGAACCUUACCUGGCCUUGACAUCCUCGGAACCUCGCAGAAAUGUGGGGGUGCCUUUUGGAACCGAGAGACAGGUGCUGCAUGGCUGUCGUCAGCUCGUGUCGUAAAUAACUUGCGACCUAUAGAAGCGAUUCUAUAGACAAAUCCAGCUUAUAACGGUGAAACCCUAACAGAUUAAUGCUGAGGGCAAUACCGUGGGAAGUUCAUGAUAAUUCAUGUAACCCCGUAACGACUGAGGCGUAAUGCCGAGAUAACAAUCGAUCCAUUUUAGUAAAUUUAUGAUUGUUAUAACACGCUGGCUCUUACUUACCAUCAGUAAGAUGAAGAUAUAGUCUAAACCCUUAAGAAAUUUUGGGAGUUAUUUGGAGAUGUUGGGUUAAGUCCCGCAACGAGCGCAACCCUUGUCUCUAGUUGCCAGCGAUUAGGUCGGGAACUCUAGAGAGACUGCCGGUGACAAACCGGAGGAAGGUGGGGAUGACGUCAAGUCAUCAUGGCCCUUACGGCCAGGGCUACACACGUGCUACAAUGGGUAGUACAGAGGGUCGCAAACCCGCGAGGGGGAGCCAAUCUCACAAAACUACUCGUAGUCCGGAUUGGAGUCUGCAACUCGACUCCAUGAAGUCGGAAUCGCUAGUAAUCGCGGAUCAGCAUGUCGCGGUGAAUACGUUCCCGGGCCUUGUACAAAAUAAAUGCGCCAGGCAGUUUAUUAGACUAGAUGGUGAAAAUCCAUCUAUCAGCUUUCGGACAGCUGAUAUAGGGAAGGAUAGGACACGUCUCGUAAGGGAGUGUCUGAAGGAUCCGAAACAAAUGGUAGUCUCAGCAAAAAAGGGCGUUGUGACUCAUGUGUGUACCAUGAGGAAGCAACAUACCGUAAAGCCCGCUGGGAAUGUCAGAAAUAGCCUAAUAAAUGACCCUGGGAUAUCCUGUCGUUAAGAUAACCAAUGAUGCGACGGCAGGAAGUCAGCUGAUUCAUAGUAGCCGAUAUGUCGGCAAAGGAUGAAACCUAUGAGAGAAAUCUCACCUGAGAACAUUUCUGGGUUUGUAGUAGGUGAAGGAUGCUUUUAUGUAGAAAGUGGUAAAGACUCAAAAUACAAAUUAGGAUAUAGAGUCAGAGCUGCUUUUUGCAUUGAACUAAGAGAAGAUGAUCGAGAAAUACUUGAGGCAAUUCAAAAAACUUUAGGAUGUGGUAAUAUUUACCAGCUUGAUUUUGGUAGAUAUAAAGAUUAUUCAAAAAAGAAUUGGAGACCUCAUGUAAAAUAUAGAGUGAGCAAUCAAAAUGAUCUCAUUCACAAGAUUAUCCCUUUCUUUGAAAGGUAUCCGCUUUUUGGUAAAAAGCUAAAAUCGUUUGAAGUUUUUAUCAAGAUUGUGGAUAAAAUAAAAUUCAAAGAGCAUCUAACACCUGAUGGUUUAGAAAAAACUAAGUUAUUGGUUUCUGAACUCAAAGCUCUGAAUAAGAAAGGCAUGUAGGACUCGCUGGAUGCGCUAGACACGCUUGUCCAGUGGGAACGCGGCAAUGGUUAUAAUGACCGCAAUCACCGCCCGUCACACCAUGGGAGUGGGCUGUACCAGAAGUAGGUAGUCUAACCUUUCGGGGAGGGCGCUUACCACGGUAUGGUUCAUGACUGGGGUGAAGUCGUAACAAGGUAGCCGUAGGGGAACCUGCGGCUGGAUCACCUCCUUUAAAGA
rnacentral:rRNA from 1 species